rnacentral:rRNA from 1 species
AUGAACGCUGGCGGCGUGCCUAAUACAUGCAAGUCGAGCGAACAGACGAGGAGCUUGCUCCUCUAACGUUAGCGGCGGACGGGUGAGUAACACGUGGAUAACCUACCUAUAAGACUGGGAUAACUUCGGGAAACCGGAGCUAAUACCGGAUAAUAUAUUGAACCGCAUGGUUCAAUAGUGAAAGACGGUUUUGCUGUCACUUAUAGAUGGAUCCGCGCCGCAUUAGCUAGUUGGUAAGGUAACGGCUUACCAAGGCAACGAUGCGUAGCCGACCUGAGAGGGUGAUCGGCCACACUGGAACUGAGACACGGUCCAGACUCCUACGGGAGGCAGCAGUAGGGAAUCUUCCGCAAUGGGCGAAAGCUUGACGGAGCAACGCCGCGUGAGUGAUGAAGGUCUUCGGAUCGUAAAACUCUGUUAUUAGGGAAGAACAAAUGUGUAAGUAACUAUGCACGUCUUGACGGUACCUAAUCAGAAAGCCACGGCUAACUACGUG